rnacentral:rRNA from 1 species
CCUACGGGUGGCAGCAGUGGGGAAUAUUGCGCAAUGGGCGAAAGCCUGACGCAGCGACGCCGCGUGAGGGAUGAAGGUCUUCGGAUCGUAAACCCCUGUCAGCAGGGAAGAACGGUCACUGUGCUAAUCAGCAGCGAAUUGACGGUACCUGCAAAGGAAGCACCGGCUAACUCCGUGCCAGCAGCCGCGGUAAAACGGGGGGUGCGAGCGUUAAUCGGAAUUAGUGGGCGUUAAGCGCUCGUAGGCGGGAUGUCAAGUCAAGGGUGAAAUCCCCGCGCGCAACGUGGGAUCUGCCUUUGAAACUGGCGAACUGGGGUGUGUGAGAGGAUAGUGGAAUUCCAGGUGUAGGAGUGAAAUCCGUAGAUAUCUGGAGGAAAAUCAGUGGCGAAGGCGACUAUCUGGCACAUAACUGACGCUGAGGAGCGAAAGCGUGGGUAGCAAACAGGAUUAGAUACCCCAGUAGUC